GUUGUGUUUCUAUUGUGUCGUUUGUUUUCUCCUAUAUUUGAGUUUGAAUUCACAUUACUAUAAGACGUGUCACGGUACUUUUCUAUCCCAAAUUCAUGUAUAUGUUUUUUAUGUUAUAUUUGUUAUUCUCAUCGAAUUUUGUCUAAUUCUUAGUCCGUUGCUGUGUGUGUUACAUUUUAUUGUUGUGUCGUUGUUCUCCUCUUAUAUUUAAUGCGUUUCCCUCAGUUUUAGUUUGUUACCCCGAUUUUGUUUUUUGUCCAUAGAUUUACGAGUUUUGAACAGCGGUAUACUACUGUUGCCUUU
rnacentral:lncRNA from 1 species